rnacentral:rRNA from 1 species
UACGUAGGUGGCAAGCGUUGUUCGGAAUUAUUGGGCGUAAAGGGCGCGUAGGCGGUUUGCUAAGUCAGUUGUGAAAGCCCGGGGCUCAACCCCGGAGGGUCGGCUGAUACUGGUGGACUAGAGUACGGAAGAGGUAGCUGGAAUUCCCGGUGUAGCGGUGAAAUGUGUAGAGAUCGGGAGGAACACCGGUGGCGAAGGCGGGUCUCUGGGCAAUUCCUGACGCUGAGGCGCGAAAGCGUGGGGAGCAAACGGG